CAGCAGCCGCGGUAACACGGAGGGUGCAAGCGUUAUCCGGAUUCACUGGGUUUAAAGGGUGCGUAGGCGGGUAUGUAAGUCAGUGGUGAAAUCUCGGAGCUUAACUUCGAAACUGCCAUUGAUACUAUAUAUCUUGAAUAUUGUGGAGGUCUGCGGAAUAUGUCAUGUAGCGGUGAAAUGCUAGAUAUGACAUAGAACACCUAUUGCGAAGGCAGCAGGCUACACAUAUAUUGACGCUGAGGCACGAAAGCGUGGGGAUCAAACAGGAUUAGAUACCCUGGUAGUCCACGCCCUAAAGGACGGAUACUCGACAUACGCGAUACACUGUGUGUGUCUGAGCGAAAGCAUUAAGUAUCCCACCUGGGAAGUACGACCGCAAGGUUGAAACUUAAAGGAAUUGGCGG
rnacentral:rRNA from 1 species